rnacentral:rRNA from 1 species
GAUGAACGCUGGCGGCGUGCCUAAUACAUGCAAGUCGAGCGAACGGACGAGAAGCUUGCUUCUCUGAUGUUAGCGGCGGACGGGUGAGUAACACGUGGAUAACCUACCUAUAAGACUGGGAUAACUUCGGGAAACCGGAGCUAAUACCGGAUGAUAUUUUGAACCGCAUGGUUCAAAAGUGAAAGACGGUCUUGCUGUCACUUAUAGAUGGAUCCGCGCUGCAUUAGCUAGUUGGUAAGGUAACGGCUUACCAAGGCAACGAUGCAUAGCCGACCUGUGAGGGUGAUCGGCCACACUGGAACUGAGACACGGUCCAGACUCCUACGGGAGGCAGCAGUAGGGAAUCUUCCGCAAUGGGCGAAAGCCUGACGGAGCAACGCCGCGUGAGUGAUGAAGGUCUUCGGAUCGUAAAACUCUGUUAUUAGGGAAGAACAUAUGUGUAAGUAACUGUGCACAUCUUGACGGUACCUAAUCAGAAAGCCACGGCUAACUACGUG